UGGGAUUCCAGGCAUGCAUCACCGCACAGGCCGGUCUCUGAUAUUUUAGAUGUCAGUAAAAACGGGCUGCUUCCAUGACAUGCAAGUGGGAGAAAAAUACCAUAUAGACAAUAUUACCUAUAAAAUUGUGAGGUCAGGGACAAUUUUUCCUGUCUUCUUAUCAUUAUAUAUUUGUUCCCUUUAAUGUUUUUUUUCUUAAAACAAACUCCUAUCUUGAUACUGUUUUACAACCUCUCUUCCUCUAGUUACUUUGAUGGGCAGUUAAAACCAUCCAUCCAUCCUUCUUUCAACAUCACCCAGCUGAUUGCUAUGAAUACAGAGACUAGCAAGAAGACACCUGCUUCCCCAGAACAUCUUUUUCUCUUCCCACUAUUUUUUCCCCCUUCCUGUGCUGUAUCAAAUCCACAACCUCAUACAUGUGAGGUAAAUGCUCCACCACUGAGCCUCACCCCCAAACCCAGAACUUGCAUUUUAACAGAGAGGACACUGAACAAACACAAUGAUGGAUGCUGAGCUCUGUGGGAGGGGAUACCAGGAAGUAUGCAAGAGAACACCUAGUGGAGUCUUUACCAAAGGCUGAUCACGCCACAGUGUACCAGGCAUGAGAAGUCUGCAGAACAUGUGGGAGAUGAGGUUCUGCCUUCAGAGACCUUGCGGUCUGGCUGAGGUAACCAGAUGGAUGCAGAGGAAACAGAACCAUGGAGGGUAACUGGAUGGGGCACCUCAAGCUGAAUUUGGGUUUCAGAAGGGUAAAGCAUUUGGGGUCAGCAGUCAACUCACAAUGUCUAGAAUUGGGUCGACUUAUUUGGUUCCAUCUGGAACUUGAGGAGCUCUGUGGCUAUUUAGAACUUGUACCAUUAUAUAACAAAACAUUGUGGGUGUGCAGCUUUUCUUAGCUAGCUCUUAAGGGGCAGAAAUCAUGGAUUGUACUGCUUUGCAUUUCUUGUGGUGUCUAGUCCUUGGCUGUCUCUUUGGUAGCUACUCAAUAAACAUUUGUGAAAUAAGUGCAGGAUGUCAUAAUUUCUUAUUGUUUUUCUGUAAUUCUAGAGCACAAGCAAGAUGAGGGGCUACGAUUACUCAGGGGGUUGGAAGUUCUAGGUUCCUUGUUGGCUUUUCUGGCAGCCUCUCAUGGAAGCUCCGUUCACCCCACGUGGAGCAAGAUGAACAUUCUAUAAUCUGUCAAGGUAAAGUUUCUAGUGCAUGAAGGCUAAGUUCCUACUGUGAUCCAGGAGAAUGGAGAUGACCAGAGACUGACCUUGACAUCUGGGAACUCAAUGUCUAGCUAAGAAGGCAGGGAAAAGAUGUUCAGCUAUAGUAAGGAACGCUUCAUUGUCCGGAUAUCCCAGCAUCUGACUGCUGAAUGAAUGAGGCCUUUGCCUGCACCAUCACGGACUGGGAUUCGGAUGACUGUCUCCAUCUUCUCACGAGAACCAUUCUGAGGACAGAUGACAGUCUGAUGCAGAUGCAUAUUCACCAUUGCUCCCUUCAUUUAUACAGGGAGAAGUUGCUGCCCAUGAACCAAGGAGUAGGCCUCACCAGCAAGAAAACAUGCAGCACCCUGACCUUCGACCUCCCAGCCUCCAGAUCCAUGGGAAGUAUGACAGACAGAAGCCGAUUUUAAAAGAAACUCACAAUUGCCAGCGUGUCCCUUGUAUGAAUCCCACGGCUGGAAUUUUUCUGUAAAUCGGCAUCUUCAGAGAGGAAGUGCCCUUGUGUUCUGAAACGCGGCUCUAGAGAUGGCAUUGUGAGGCUCCAUAUUUACUCUCUGCACAACUUUCAUUUCAAAGAUUCUUACUUUGUGAGCCAAAGGGUUUUUUUUUUUCCUUUUCUUUUCUUUCUUUUUUUUUUCUUUUUUCUUUCUGCUUGUCCCCGAAAUGGACUGAACCUGAAACUCAAGAGUCAAGCUGUGCUCUUUCUGCCUCUGACAUCAUUAGAAACCCAAAAGGUGGCAGCUGGCCUUCAAACUGUCAGCCUCAAAAUGAAAUCUUACGCUACUGAAGGUUCCAGAGAGUCGGAACCAAGGUCUUGUCUCAACUGUGGUAUCAGGAGGUCACACCAAAGGACCGUCUUCUUCCCAGUUGCUUAAGGAAGUAUGGCUCCUUACGUAGCUCAUACCUGAUGUUGGUUGUCCAAUGCUUUCCCCCUGAAGCCUACCUCUUGGUAAAGGAGAGACCAUCACACACAGACUCUUUGUGAAUGAGGAUGCUAUUAAGGAUGUUUUCCAUGUGAGCCAUUUGAGUGGAAGUUGCUAGAAGCAAUGUACAGCAGUAAGAACAUAACUCACUGAGGGUCACGCACACCAAGACCCAGGUAAUAAGCAUGACCUGUACUAUUUCUGCAUCUAUUCAAUAAGGGGGCUGGACCAGAGAGUCUACAGAAAAUCCUCAUGGUUUUAAGAUUCUCUGACUGCAAUUAGAUGUUGAAGAAUGAAUAUACAGAAGAGGUAUAAAAUAAAAUCACCAUCAAAGAUGUCCUCUAAAAUGGUGACAGAACUUACCUCGGAAAGCAGAGUGGACUAAGAUUGGGAUGACAGACAGGAUUUUAGAUUUACCUGCAAUUAAAAAAUGAUAAUAAUGGGCCAAGAUGUGGCUCUCUCCCGGUAAGUUGCAAAACAAUGCAUACAGUAUAGCAUUAUUUAUAUAAAAUGUGUCCACACUUAGGAAUUACUCUGUAUAUUUUAUACAGACAUAUAUGUGGAUGUAAGUUUCUAGAAAAAAGCUAUGAAAGCAUAGACACCAAGCUGACAACAGUUACAUCAGGAACUAGGAAGUAGGGGAUGGGCGAUAGUGGUUGAGUUAACUUUAGAACUAUCUACAAUGCUUUAAGGAAGAAAUUCAUGUAUUUUUUUUUUUGUCUAAUGAAAUCAUACAAAUUAUGCAUAUGAGAAGGGCAAAGCCCAUGUAGUUACUCAUGUGCACAAACACACACGAUGCCUUUGUGCAAGUAAGACUUGAUGGAAUAAUUGGAGAAAUUUCAGUUGAAUAACAUUUGGCAAUCAGAAAUGGUCCUUAGGCAACCUGCCAGCAAGCUCAGCUCCUCCUCUGGGGAGCCUUCCUGACUUGGCUCCCACUGACCUUGCCCUCCUCAAAUGCCUGCCCUCAAUAUCAUCUCUCUCCUCAUCACAUUUCUCUCUCCAGAGUCUCUUUGCAGUUCAUCUUUAUAGAUCCCUGAAAAAGUCACUAUUCCUCAUUUCAUUCAAAGUCUGUGUCUCAGAGGUACAAGCCUGAGCAACUUAUGUGAUUUGCUGUUCUCCAAGCCAUGAGGCCCCAGUUCCCAGGGUGCAUCCCAAGUCCGGAGACCCAGUCAUACCACUGCAUGGGAGGCCCAAGGCGAGGGCACCAGGGAUCGGCACUGGUUGUAUCAGGCAGAGUUGGAAAUACAGCUUUGAGGAGUGGCGUGGCUCCCCAUCAUAUCGAGGGGAGAAAAAAAACACAUUCCUCUCCCACAUGAGAGAUUCAGAAAGGAAAGUGAUUUGGAACCAUGCUUCAGAAACCUCCAGAAACCUCAUCACCUUUUAGCCAGCCAAUGCCACUUGAUGAAAAAGAUCAGAAAUAAAGAUAAUGGUGUCUGUACAGAUAUUCAUCCUGUGGUCGCUUGUGGAAAAGUGUGGGUCUUCCAUGUGGGGUACUA